rnacentral:snRNA from 1 species
AUGCCUUAAAUUUAUGAGUAAGGAAAAUAAUGAUUCGGGGUCAUGCCCGAAUCCGCACUGCUAAUGUGAGACGAAUUUUUGAGUGGGUAAAGUUUGCCUCUAAGGUGACCCGCCUACUUUGUGAGAUGCCUGGGAGUCGUGAUCUGCCUG